rnacentral:rRNA from 1 species
UGCCAGCCGCCGCGGAAAUACGCAGGGGGCGAGCGUUAUUCGCGAAUUACUGGGCGUAAAGGGUGCGUAGGCGGCCCAUCAAGUUAGACGUGAAAGCCCCGGGCUCAACCUGGGAAUUGCGUUUAAUACUGGUGAGCUAGAGUACGAGAGAGGAAAGUGGAAUUCCUAGUGUAGAGGUGAAAUUCGUAGAUAUUAGGAAGAACACCAGUGGCGAAGGCGACUUUCUGGCUCGUAACUGACGCUGAGGCACGAAAGCGUGGGGAGCAAACAGGAUUAGAUA